AACGAACGCUGGCGGCAUGCCUAACACAUGCAAGUCGAACGAGACCUUCGGGUCUAGUGGCGCACGGGUUCGUAACGCGUUGGAACCUGCCCUUAGGUUCGGAAUAACUCCCCGAAAGGGGUGCUAAUACCGGAUAAUUUCUUCGGACCAAAGGUUUAUCGCCUUUGGAUGGGCCCGCGUUUGAUUAGCUAGUUGGUAGGGUAAAAGCCUACCAAGGCGACGAUCCAUAGCUGGUAUGAGAGGAUGAUCAGCCACACUGGGACUGAGACACGGCACAGAAGACUACGGGAGGCAGCAGUGGGGAAUAUAGGAAAAUGGGAGAAAGCCUGAACAAGCAAUGACGCGUGAGUGAUGAAGGCCUUAGGGUAGUAAAGCUCUUUUACAAGGGAUGAUAAUGACAGUACCGGGAGAAUAAGCUCCGGCUAACUCCGUG
rnacentral:rRNA from 1 species